UACGUAGGGUGCGAGCGUUGUCCGGAAUUAUUGGGCGUAAAGAGCUCGUAGGCGGUCUGUCGCGUCGAUCGUGAAAACUUGGGGCUUAACCCUGAGCUUGCGGUCGAUACGGGCAUGACUGGAGUUCGGCAGGGGAGACUGGAAUUCCUGGUGUAGCGGUGAAAUGCGCAGAUAUCAGGAGGAACACCGGUGGCGAAGGCGGGUCUCUGGGCCGAUACUGACGCUGAGGAGCGAAAGCGUGGGAGC
rnacentral:rRNA from 1 species